GAUGAACGCUGGCGGCGUGCUUAACACAUGCAAGUCGAACGCGCAUCCCUUGAACUUCGGUGAGGGGGAGGGCGAGUGGCGAACGGGUGAGUAACACGUAGGAAACCUGCCCUGAAGAGGGGGAAAACGGCUGGAAACGGCCGCUAAUCCCGCAUGGUCUCCGCAAGGAGUAAAGCUUUGGCGCUUCAGGAAGGGCCUGCGGCCUAUCAGGUAGUUGGUGGGGUAAUGGCCUACCAAGCCGAUGACGGUAGGGGCGUGAGAGCGCGACCCCCCACACGGGAACUGAGACACGGUCCCGACGCCUACGGGCGGCAGCAGUGAGGAAUCUUGCGCAAUGGGGAAACCCCGACGCAGCGACGCCGCGUGCGGGAAGAAGGCCUUCGGGUCGUAAACCGCUUUUCUGUGGACGAGGAAGGACGGUACCACAGGAAUAAGUCCGGCUAGCUACGUGCCAGCCGCCGCGG
rnacentral:rRNA from 1 species